rnacentral:rRNA from 1 species
UACGGAGGGGGUUAGCGUUGUUCGGAAUGACUGGGCGUAAAGCGUGCGUAGACGGUUAUUUAAGUCGGGUGUGAAAGCCCCGGGCUCAACCUGGGAAUUGCAUUCGAGACUGAAUAGCUAGGGUACGGUAGAGGGAAGUGGAAUUUCCGGUGUAGCGGUGAAAUGCGUAGAUAUCGGAAGGAACAUCAGUGGCGAAAGCGACUUCCUGGACCAGUACCGACGUUCAGGCACGAAAGCGUGGGGAGCGAACAGG